GCAGCUGCAACAACAACCUUUUGGCCCUUAGACAAAACAGCGGUGUAUCUGUUGGCGGUGUGAGCACAUCGGCUCAGUAAAAGUAAGCAGAAAGAGCUCCGAGCGAAGCAAGGUGGACUCAACACAGUACAGCAGGUGAACGGAGUCCGAGCCUCUCACACAGGCAUCUCCGGACGGACGCUUGAAUCAUCGCGGUCUUUCUCGAUCCCAAAGGGGUAAAAGAACUCAAAAUAAGGUGUUACUGGUGACAAAACUGGAUUCACCCCAGCCACUGCAGGAAGGCAGCGGGGAGCCCUGAGGAGUCGGACAGGCGGAUGCCAGAAGGACAGCAGGUUUCUGCAGACAGGCAGAGCAGCAAAGGCAACAGACACAGACUGUCUGCAUCACUGAAGCAAACAACAAGAGUAACCUUAACUGGAGGUUUAAAAACCCACUGAUUACUCCGACAGAAGAGAAAAAACUGUAUAAGGAGGAGUGAGAAGAAAAGGGAAGUAUUGCAAUACUCUAUAUUACUCCCACAGACAAAGAGAGACCUUUUUCCAUGAGCAUCACAUACUAGGAACAGGAACCAAUUCCUGGAAAACAGUGUGUGUAGCUCAUUACUACUGAAACUAUUUGAUACCUGAAUAUAAUAUAAACACUUGGGCGGACACUGUUGUACUCUGUUAGAGUAAUUACAGUGAAUAGGUUACCAGUGUCGUAAGUUCUCCCCAAAUAAUUGUCUCAAACAAGCAGGACAGAUAUCAAAGAAAAAACCCAGGAGGUUUUGAAAUACCAGCGGAAACAUUUACUCUGUGUUCAGACAUCUAGCCAACAUUAGCAGGGAAACUAACCUAACCAUAGAUAUCUAUUCCGUCCUCGGCACCAGCAGUUCAUUAUCACAGGUUUCAUCAGAAUAGAGCAUUUGCUCAACAGCUUAUACUGGUGACGUCUCAAACUUCACACUUGUGGUGGAAUAAAAUGGCAAAACCAGGAGGAAACCUAUGGUGUCAGAGUGCAUGCGCUACCCUGAUCCCAGACAAUUCAGAUAAAAUGGAAAGUGUUAUAAAAGAAAUGAAGAAGAUUGCUAAUUCUUUUGGUCCAUCAAAGUCUAGUGAUAGUUUUACCAGCUGGCUGGAAAAAAACCUGGGUACUUGGGGCCUGCCGAUAGCCGUGAUUUUAAUAAUCUUUCUCCUCGGGCUGAGUGUAUCUAUCUGUUGUCUGAUUCACAGACAGAAGCGGAGGGAAGCAGCACAAUUCCCUUUAUUGAACAAUAAUCAAGUCAUUGUAAGAGCAGACUUGCAAGAAGUGUAAAUGUGAAGUAAACCUCAGAGCUUGCUCAGAAUGUUAGCAAAAAAAAAAAAUGCGUGAGGGAAAUUAUAGUUUAUUCUUUAUAAAGAUUAAUGUUGUGAAAUUUGUGUUGCAGAGAACUGUCAUGUAGCUGUGUGACCAUUCUCUGACCACUGUUCUAAGCUGACCGUUGUUUGACCGCUCACCUGAGCUGCAUCCUGUUUCAAUAGGGAAAUGAUCCCCAUGAAUCUCAGCUGGUAGUGAACCAGGCAAAAGAAGGUGACAGAAAUCUGAAGGAAACAGGAAGCUCCUCACUAGCCCAGUUCGUCAAAAACUAGAAUGAGGCAGAAAAAUAAAAUUGGCAAAUAAGGCGUUCAGGAUGCAUCUCGGGACGGGCGGGCUAAAUGUAUAUAAUGCAUGUGUAACUGUUGUUUGGGGCUCUUCAUCCCUGAGUGAUGUAGGGUCUGUAAUCAUACGUUUUGGAAUAAAGCACAAGAAAGGCA